rnacentral:lncRNA from 1 species
AAAGAAAAAAAUAACCUAAUUAUUAUUAUCAUUAUUAAUGUUAUCAUUAUUAUUAUUAUUAAUAAUAUUGUCAAUUGGUCAAUCGUCAACCGAUAACAACAGGGCCCUCCUCAUCCUUCGAAUUUCAUGAAGUAUCCUUGCUCUCGUGGUGCCCAACUCCCACUAUAGUUCAUUAAUCUGCGUUUGAAUUUUUUGCACGGUGUCGCGUAGAAUCGUCAUAUUGCAAAUCAGAUCAGCCAUCUCUAGAACAGGCAUGCAUUAACAAAAAAUGUAAAACACUAAUGAAAAGAAAGGAGUCUGAAUAUAAUACAACCUAUACUAACAAUUGGUAGUUUUACAAAAAAAAUACCUCAAUAGACGAAAAAUGAAUCUACUCUUUGAAGAUAUAAUGUUAUUUUUAUGAAAGACAAGAUGCAAGAAAUAAAUAAAGUGGAGUAGACUGAAUGAGUAAGGAGGGACCUAUGUAUAGAGGAUUGAAUUUGAAUGUGUUAGGAAAAAAGUCACGAUUGUUCACCUUCUUUUUAUUAAUUAUAUGCUUAAAUUAAAUCAAACUGGUGACUUUUCGAUUAUUUAAAUCAAACUAUGAAAAGUCACAACUUUUUUCCUUUUUAUUAUUAACAUUAGAUCUUAAAAAUUAAAUAACCAUUUUUAAUUAAAUAAUUGAAAAGUCAUGACUUUUCACCUUUUCAAUAACCAUUUUUUAAUAACAGUUUUAUUGAGUUCAUUAUAUAAAUGGUUCAUCUGUUGCAAUAGAUUACCUAUCUUUUGCAACGAAGUACCCAUCUGUUAUCUGUUAGAAGAAAUCAAGUCAGUCUUGCUACUGGUUGAUUACUUCUAAUAGGUGAUCCAUCUAUUGCAACAGAUGGGUCAUUUGUUGGAAGAGCUCUAUUGAUUUCUUCCAAUAGUUGAUUUAUCAGUUGCAACUAAUAGGGAAUCUGAUUCUUCAGCUAUUUUGAAUAUGUUAGACAAAAAGUCAUGAUUAUUAACCUCUUUUUUAAUAAUUAUAUCCCUUAAUUAAAUCAAACAAAUGGCUUUUUGAUUAUUUAAAUUAAAAAAUAAAUUUAAAUACAAAAAAGGUGAAAAGUCAUAACUUUUUACCUUUUUAAUAUCAACAUUAGUUAUUAAAAUUAAAUAAAUAUUUUUUUACAGUUCUAAAUUUUGUUUAUCAUUUAUUUUUUUAUUAUUUAUUUACUAUCCAUUUUUCUUUAUUAAAUAAUUGAAAAACCAUGACUUUUCACCUUUUCAAUAAUCGUUUCUUUUCUAUUAAUAACCAUUUUAGUUGAAUUCUUCUAACAGGUUUCCCAUUUGUUGCAACAGAUGGGUCAUAUUUUGGAAGAACUUAAUCCAGUAGCAGCAAGGGUUUCUCGAUUAGGUUUUUAUUUUUUGAGAGUUUUGUUACCCUUUCAAGAAGGUUGAGAAGAAAGGUUUUGAAGAUGGUUACCUUUUGACCUCCAUAGUUUUGUACGCUACUUCAAUAUGGGAACUGAAGAUAGAAUGUUGUUUGACAUUGAUGGAGUAGGAAUAAUAAGGUAUGUCCAGAUAGAUGGAUCCACUUUCAUGUGUGGUAGGUAUGUAUUACCAAUCAACUUAUCAUGAUAAGACAUAUUAAGUGCGAUGACUUUGUGAAUGCGGUUCUUUAUUGAUUAGGGAUUAAUCCUUCAAACAAGAGCCUGCAUUUUGCAGUUAAAUUUGAUAGUUCCAAACUGAGGGAUCAUAAAGAUGGUGAUGAUACCCUGUUAUAAUUUAAUGACUGUUUUGCUCAUGUUUAUGCAUCAAGUUUAGAGAAGGGAUCAAUAUUUGAUAGCAGUGUAGAUAUUCAAUAGUGAUUGGACUAGUUUUAAUGGUGCAACGGAGUUUGAGAAAGCCUUAAAAUCCUCACAGUGCAAAAAACAAGAAUGGCAAACCAAUAGAAAUUCCCCUAGUCCAAAUUUAUAUAAAUGGGUGGCUCAAAAUGUUGAUUAAAUAGCAGAACCUGAUGUAGGAGAAUAUCUGCGAGAAUGGAGAGUUACUGAAGACUAUAUCAUCUCAUACCUUUUUAAAGAAAAAAUAUAGGGUAGCAAGAAAGGAACUUCUUGCUAAUAUGGCUAAUGAAAUUGACUUGAAAAAUGAAAAAUUUAAAUAAGCUAAAAAUAUAAAAGUGUAUCUAAAAAUAAAAAUCCAUCAGUCGUUGUUGAAAAGAAAAAUGGUAUAGUUGGCUGGAGCUGUACACUUUUCUAGGUAACAGGGACUAGUUAGCAUAGUAUCAAUGAUCUCCUCCAAAGAAAGUAACACAAGUUUUAAGAAAGCCGCUUUGCGAGCAUCGAGGGAUGGGAAGAUGUACAAUCAAGAAUGAAACUUGCACCAAGAACUGCUGAAGUUAAAAUAAGGGAUCAAGCCAAGGUGAAUAUUUUUGAAGUUAAACUUGCAUCUCAUGCCUUCUCUUUUUGGUUAUGAUCAGGUCAAUAGUAGUGGAAACAAAAAAGUCUGAAGUUGAGCAAAAAUCCCAUGCCUUUUUUUUCUACUGCAAUUGAUGUAACCAAAACCACAAACAGAAUGCAUAGGAUACAAGUUUAACUUCAAAAAUUUUCGUCUUAGCUUGAUUGCUUAUUUUAACUUCAGUAGUUCUUGGUGAAAGUUUCAUUCUUGACUGUACAUAUUCCCAUCCAUCGAUCCUCACAAAGCGUCUUCCUUGGACUUGUGUUUCUUUCUUUGGAGGUGAUUAUUCAGACCACGCUAACUAGUUGUAGUUCCUGGUAAAGUGCAUAGCUCCAGUCCACCAUAUCAUUUUUCUUUUCAAUAAUGAGUGAUGGAUAUUCAUUUUUUAAUACACUUUUAUUUUUGUAUCUCAUUCAAUUUUUUUAUUUUACAUGUCAUUUUCAUUCACCAGAUUUGGUACAAGUUCCUCACUACCCCGUGUUUUCUUUCUUUAAUAAGAUCUGAGUUGAGAUAGUCUUUAGCACCUCCCCUUCUCUUGUAGAUAUUCUCCCAAGCACUUUAUGUUGUAUAAUCAUCACCCUUAGCAACCCAUCCAUAAAUUUGAACCAGGGCGAUUUCCAUGGGAUUUCCAUUUUUGUUUACAGUAGUAAGAGUCAUCAGAGGCCUUUCAAAAGUCCAUUGAACCCUUAAAAUCAGUCCAAUCACUAUUGAAUAUCUACACUACCACCAAAACUUGAUCCCUUAUCAAAACUUGACACAUAAACAUUAGCAAAACCAUCAUUAAACUGUAAUAGGGUAUCAACACCAUCUUCUAGGUCCCUCAGCCUUAUCAGUUCGAACCUAUCAAACUUAACUAUAAAUUGCAAUAUCUUAUUUGAAUGGUAAAUUUCAAAUUGGUAAAAAACAACAUUCACAAAAUCAAUGUACUUUAUGUGUGUUUUCAUGAUAACUUGAUCAUUAAUAUAUACCUUCCACAUAUAAUGUGUUUCCAUCUGCAGGCAGCUUCCUUUGAACACAUCUUUACUUUAGCCUUUUAUGUUGUUCAGACAAAAGUUGAUCCAUUUUAACUUCUUUUUCUUUUGGGAGAAAUAUU